rnacentral:lncRNA from 1 species
CGAGGCUAUAAGGGGGGAUGAUAGCCUCUUUUCGAUUUAUACAGGUUGAUUGCGGAAUUACCUGUAAAUGCUUAAUAAACAAAUGGUUGAACAGUAAUGAUAUAAUGAUAUUAUUAUUUUAAUUGAUAUAAUAAUGUAAGUAUUACUCUUCGAAGCUUACUACAGUAUAUGAAUACUGAGUCAACUUGCUUGAUAGUGUUUCACACACAACUAUAGUAUAUGAAUACUAAGUUAUAUUGGAAACACAAAUUGUAUUGUAGAGUAAAUGACCAGAUAACUGGAUAUAUUGAUACGCAAGUAAAUGACCAGAUAACUGGAUAUAUUGACAAACAAGUAAGUGACCAGAUAACUGGAUAAGUUGAUAAACAAGUAAGUGACCAGAUAACUGGAGAGAUAUGAUAAGUAAUACUUGAACAAAUAUAAGGAUUUAAAGCAAUGAAUAUAACCUCAGAUAGUUGACCAGAUAACUGGAUGAGGGAUCUGCGUAAAGUAGUCAACCUCUGUGUUUGACCAGAUAACUGGAUUAGGGAUCUUUUUAAUUAAGUGUUGUUUUU